rnacentral:rRNA from 1 species
UGAAACUUUUUAUUUUAAUUGGGGCGAUUUAACUAAAUAUUAAAAACUUUUUUAAAAAAAAAUAUGAACCGUUAUUAACGGGCACUUGGAAAAAAUACUCUAGGGAUAACAGCGUAAUAAUUUUUGAUAGUUCUUAUAGACAAAAUAGUUUGCGACCUCGAUGUUGGAUUAGGAUAUUUUUUUA